AAAUUGAAGAGUUUGAUCAUGGCUCAGAUUGAACGCUGGCGGCAGGCCUAACACAUGCAAGUCGAACGGUAACAGAAAGCAGCUUGCUGCUUUGCUGACGAGUGGCGGACGGGUGAGUAAUG
rnacentral:rRNA from 1 species